rnacentral:rRNA from 1 species
UACGUAGGGUGCAAGCGUUAAUCGGAAUUACUGGGCGUAAAGCGUGCGCGGGCGGCUUUGCAAGACAGAUGUGAAAUCCCCGGGCUCAACCUGGGAACUGCAUUUGUGACUGCAUGGCUAGAGUGCGGCAGAGGGGGAUGGAAUUCCGCGUGUAGCAGUGAAAUGCGUAGAUAUUGGGAGGAACACCAGUGGCGAAGGCGGCUCACUGGACCGGAACUGACGCUGAGGCGCGAAAGCGUGGGGAGCAAACAGG